UCUCUGUAGGACUAGUGGUUAGGCCACAUUGAUCUCACCACUGUGGCCCGGGUUCAAUUCCCAGCCAAGGAA
rnacentral:tRNA from 1 species